rnacentral:guide_RNA from 1 species
ACGACGAUAAUUCACUGUAGAUUAGUUUGUGAGAUGAUGAUA